UACGUAGGGGGCGAGCGUUGUCCGGAGUUACUGGGCGUAAAGGGCAUGCAGGCGGUCGGACGCGUUUCGGGUGACAGCGGGUGGCUUAACUACCCGAGUGGUCGAAAGACGGUUUGACUUGAGGACGCGAGAGGGACACGGAAUUCCGGGUGGAGUGGUGAAAUGCGUAGAGAUCCGGAGGAACACCAGUGGCGAAGGCGGCCGCCUGGACCUGACCUGACGCUGAGGCGCGAAGGCGUGGGGAGCGAACGGG
rnacentral:rRNA from 1 species